UACAGAGGGUGCCAGCGUUGUUCGGAAUUAUUGGGCGUAAAGGGCGCGUAGGCGGCCUCGCAUGUCCGGUGUGAAAGCCCACCUCUUAAAGGUGGAAUUGCAUCGGAAACUGCGAGGCUGGAGUGCCGGAGAGGGUAGUGGAAUUCUCGGUGUAGAGGUGAAAUUCGUAGAUAUCGGGAAGAACACCGGUGGCGAAGGCGGCUACCUGGACGGUAACUGACGCUGAGGCGCGAAAGCGUGGGGAGCAAACAGG
rnacentral:rRNA from 1 species